ACUUAUAGGGGUUCCUGUCUUUCUUCGCGGUUCACCCCAGAGCGGCUCUGGGUGAUACGGGGGGACUGAUCUCGAGAUGGUGAUCGCUCCGGUUGGGGCAAGAGGGAGAGACGAUUGCUGACCUGCCGCAAGAGCCGUAUCUGUUCCAUUUCCUCUCGGAGAUGCUCCAUCUUUCUCCUCAUGGUGAAGCUGGGGUCUGUCGAGCCAUACUCCUGACGACUACUGCGGGAAAAUGCUGAAACAUGGAGGACAAAAAGUUAAUCAAUUAAAAGUUGUUUAUUUUUAUAGUGUUUUUAACAAUAGACAUUGUUGCAAGGUAGCUUUACAGAGAAUUAAAAGACUUUAAAACGAGCUAAUUUUAUCCCUAAUUUAUCCCCAAUGAGCAAGCCUGUGGCGAUCAUAUCAAGGAAAAACUCCCUCAGACAACAUGAAGAAACCUCGAGAGGAACCAGACUCAAAAGGCAACCCAUCCUCAUUUGGGUGAUAACAGAUAAUAUGAUUAUAAAUAACUUGCUUAAUGAAAUUAAUAAAAGGUUAUUAAUAUCACAUUGCCUACAUUAAUGAGUGGUUCUUAGACUAAAAUACCUGUCAUUUUGGGACAAUUUCCUCUCUUUGAUAAAUUAAUAAGACCAUUUUAGAAAGUUAUCUAUCCAUUAUGAUUUAUCUUACUUUUCAACAUCUUUAUUGGCUUCAGCAUCACUGGUUUUGCCCUCCUCCUACACCCUGACUUCUAAAAUUGAACCUUAAAAAUAUGAUUUAUCUGAAAACUUUGUACAUGAAUAAAGUUGUGCUUCUAUACUGUA